AGCGAGUCACAUUAGCAACAUGAGAGGAAAAGGACAGUUGAUUGUCCAUGCUUACCCCAAGGUUGUGAGCUGUGGCUAUGAAAUGAUAAUGUUCUCUGGCUAUGAAAUGAGAAAUGUUACAUAACUUUUCAUGAAUCACUGCGCUUGCUAAUAUAACAGGGUGCUUGUUUACUGUACUCUUACUCAAGUCAUUUUAUAUAUAUAUCUACUUUUUACUCAUCACAUUUUUUAUUGUGACCUUUAAAACACUACAAACAAACUUCGUAAAAUUGAAAAAAAAAAAAUUAAAUAAACACACUUUUAAAGAUCGUCAUCGAAUGAAUAAAGUAUGCAAAAAGGUUUGAGGGCUAGUUUGCUAAAUGAGCUAGGGCUAGUUAGGUUUUGUAAAUUCGCCCUAAAAUAGAUAGCAAGGUUUUUCUUUUUCACGGCCAUUAUCUAAUAUGAUUUUUUUUCUUUACGUUCGGUUAUGUCCCUUUUACACUCUGUACUCUUACUUGUAAUGGAGUAAGAUUCGAUCACAAUUCCUUACACUUUUUCUGUACACUUAAUGUGAAUUAGUUAUACAGUAUAGAGGAAACACUGCUCGUCUAAUGCUGUAUAUGUUUUAGAAGUGUCAUGUGGGUGCAGACAUUUAAUCCAAGCAAACAGACAAACCAACUGAACUGACAUGUGCAGUCACGUCAGUCUGUUUAUCAGCUCUCUACACUUUAUAAAUUAUAACUAGCGGUUCUAAAGGGUGAGGCAGUGCCCCUGUGACAACAAGCUUGGACCCCUUUGUGGUCCCCUAAAUGUGGAGUGUGAAAUAAUUUUUACAAAACUUUUUUUUUUUUUUUUUGCGAUCGUUGUUUUUACAUCCGAUAUUAGACAGUGGCAACGCGGAACAGAAAUGUAACCCACACAUUUUCUAGAGGGACUGCUUAAAGCGGAACACAACAACAGUAUCGCAGAACAUGCAUCUGUAGGUUGUUUUUCUGCUCAGAAGUUGGUGGAAGUUUUGCGCGAAUAUUUAUAGUUGAAGACUUCAAGCAAAGAAGGAAAUAUAGAGAUAUCAGCCAAUGAUGAAUAUAUACCCAAGAACUCUGAUGGGGGACCAGAGGAGGAGCUUCAAGGCAACCUGGUACCAUAUCACCCCUGGCUUCAAUAUUUCAAACAAUCAGACUCUGUGUUUUAUCCCUCCCAAAGUCUCAGAGACAGUAUUAGUUUCAAAAUUGGGUUUUAACAAUUGGGAGAAGGCAACUUACAAACAGGGGGGAUUUGCAUGCAAGGUCUGAGCAGCACAAACAAGCAAUGAUUACAUGAAGAGACUAUCAGAAAGCUGUAAAAAGUAAUGCAACACUAGUAAAUGCCCUAAACAAGGAACACAACAAACAGGAUCAAGAAAAUCGGGACUAUAUCAAAACAAUAGGAGAAAUACUACUACUUACAGCCACACAUAUCAUCACACAAAGAGGACAUGAUAAGUCUGCAGAGUCAGAUAAUAAAGGGAACUUCAUGGUAAUCUUAGAAACAAUAGCUAAGCAUGACAAAACUGUGCAAGAAAGGUUGACUUCCAUUCAUAAUGCAAAAUUAUACCAGCAAAGGGAUUCAGAAUGAGGUUGUGAGUUGUUUGGCAGACAUGGUUCGAACAAAAAUUAUCGAAGAAGUGAAAGACACUGUGGUCUAUAGCAUAAUGGCAGAUGAAACAAAAGAAAAAAAAGGAGCAGAUAUCUCUAGUACACGGGUACAAUUUCAGUGGAGCUGUCCAUGAGAGCGAGCUUUCUCCACUUUGAAUCGGUUGAACAACUAGAUGCAGCAGGGCUUACUGACAAAAUCAUACACGUAUUAGAAAGUCAUGGUCUUGAAUACAAAAACAAGCAUAUGACGUUGCUAUGACAUUAUGAGUGGCAAGCAUUCUGGUGUCCAGGCAUGCAUUAGAGAACAAGCAAAGCAUGCCUUUUACAUCCACUGUAAUGUACACUGUCUGAAUUUAGUUUUAGUGGAUACCUGUACAGUCAAAGCUAUCCCCAAGGUAGGAGAGUUCUCUUUACUAGAAAGACUGUAUGUAUUCACAUCUGGGUCAUAUAUGCAUCAAAAAUGGCUUAGGAUACAGAAAGAGAUGUACCCUGGUGCACCAGCUAGAGAGCUUCAGAGGCUAAGUGACACUCGCCGGGCAUGUCGAUAUAUAUGGCUCUACAUACUAUUAUGGAUAGAGUCCUGCAAGACAUAGUCCAAGAACACAAUGGUGACAGAUCUGUUGAGGCUAGAGGUCUGCUUGCACAGAUAGAUUUACAGUUCAUUGUGUGCCUUGUUACAUUCCAUAAAGCGCUUGGAGAAGAAAAUUUCUAUCAGAUAUGCUACAGUCUCUUGACAAUCACUUGACCUGUCAAAGGCUGUUGAUUUAGUUGAAGCCUUAGUUCAGACUUUGAAUGACUACAGGGAGGAGUCAUUUUUUGAUGACCUACAGUAUGGAGUGAAGUGAUAAACACAGCUGAGCAAUGUGAUACUGCAAUAAAGCCCCCUGCAAAACAAUUUAAUGCAGACUGUGUACUCAGCAUAGUGGGACACAGGUCAGAUUUAGAACGAGAAAAAGAGAGUUUUCGCACAACCCUUUUCUACCCUGUUUUAGAUCAGAUGCUCAAUGAGAUAAACAGGUUUUCUAGCAAAAACUGUGAAAUAAUGACUGGCAAUGACAAAAGUCCCUGUUUUCAUUUGCUAGAAUGUAUGAAUACAUACGAAAUAUUGAGGACUUGGGGUAUGAACUACAUUUCAGAAGAAUGAGUGGCAUGCCGAAACCCUCCAGUGUAGUAGAGCUGGCAUUAUUCAUUGGACCUUUAUAAAGAAGUUUUCUUUAAACUUUUUAAACUAUGCAAGAUAGCUGUUUCAAUCCCUGUUAGUACUGCUUCUUGUGAACAGAGUUUUUCUGCACUAAAGCUGGUGAAAAAGCUGGAUCUCAGGUCCACAAUGUCAGAUGACAGAUUAAGCAAUUUAGGUGUUCUAAGUAUUGAGUCAAGGAGGGCAUUAAAUCUAGAUGAAUUUGUUGAUCUUUUUGCAAAAAAAAAAAAAAACAACGCAAGCAUCGUAGAAUACAGUUACCGUGACCGAUACUGUAUAGGUAAUGCAAAUGUAAAAAUAUAAUUAAAAUGCAAAUAGUUACUGUGACUGAUACUGAAAAUGUAAUGCAAAUGUAAAAAAUAAAAUUGAAAUGCAAAUA